UACGUAGGGGGCAAGCGUUAUCCGGAUUUACUGGGUGUAAAGGGAGCGUAGGCGGCCUGCCAAGUCUGAUGUGAAAUGCCGGGGCCCAACCCCGGAACUGCUCUGGAAACUGUGAAGCUGGAGUGCAGGAGAGGUAAGCGGAAUUCCUGGUGUAGCGGUGAAAUGCGUAGAUAUCAGGAGGAACACCAGUGGCGGAGGCGGCUUACUGGACGGUAACUGACGCUGAGGCUCGAAAGCGUGGGGAGCAAACAGG
rnacentral:rRNA from 1 species